UACGUAGGUGACCAGCGUUGUCCGGAUUUACUGGGCGUAAAGAGCGCGCAGGCGGUCGUUCAAGUCGAGUGUGAAAGCCCCCGGCUCAACUGGGGAGGGUCACUCGAUACUGAUCGACUUGAAGGCAGGAGAGGGAAGCGGAAUUCCCGGUGUAGCGGUGAAAUGCGUAGAGAUCGGGAGGAACACCAGAGGCGAAGGCGGCAACCUGGACGGACACUGACGCUGAGACGCGAAAGCGUGGGGAGCAAACAGG
rnacentral:rRNA from 1 species